CCUACGGGUGGCAGCAGUGAGGAAUAUUGGUCAAUGGGCGCGAGCCUGAACCAGCCAAGUAGCGUGAAGGAUGACUGCCCUACGGGUUGUAAACUUCUUUUAUAAAGGAAUAAAGUGAGGCACGUGUGCCUUUUUGUAUGUACUUUAUGAAUAAGGAUCGGCUAACUCCGUGCCAGCAGCCGCGGUAAUACGGAGGAUUCGAGCGUUAUCCGGAUUUAUUGGGUUUAAAGGGAGCGUAGAUGGUCUGUUAAGUCAGUUGUGAAAUUCUGCGGCUCAACCGUAAAAUUGCAAUUGAUACUGGAAGUCUUGAGUACAGUUGAGGUAGGCGGAAUUCGUGGUGUAGCGGUGAAAUGCUUAGAGAUCACGAAGAACACCGAUUGCGAAGGCAGCUUACUAAACUGCCACUGACGUUGAUGUUCGAAAGUGUGGGUAUCAAACAGGAUUAGAUACCCGUGUAGUC
rnacentral:rRNA from 1 species